UCUUCUUUGAUAUUAUAAACUUGGGAGAGGUGAUCACAUUCUUCAUUUUCUUCUGCAAUCCAAAUGAAGGCAAGUCAUGAUACCAGGCAAUUAAGUUCUAUCUAGGGUUUGCGAUUCGUGUAUUUAUUGGCAGAUUUAUGCUAAUAAGUUAAUAACUGACCUUGUAAGUAGUACUUUUCUUAUUUGAUUUUUCCGAAGCGAGGGAUUCUAGUUCAUCGUCAUGUAUCAGGUUAUCGUCCUAGCCGUCUUCUAGAUGUGUACUCUUGAAUUCUUUUUUUCUCAUUGUGUUCAUGUCAAUAUUGUCAUUAUCUGUAAUUUUAGAUACAAAAAUAUCACAUAUGCACAUUUCAAUAGAAUAUGAUAUACAAAUUUCAUGUGAAGUAUAACCAAUUACCAUUUUUCAGUGAUUUUAGCUUUGAUACCAUGUUCACCUCUUUCUUGUGUAUUAAGACAUUAUCUUCACAAGAAAGUAUAACAAUUUUAGAUAAAAUAUGCAAAAAAGUGUAUUUUGAGAAACACUAGAUUUAAAAUCAAAGACAGGAUUUAAGAUAUCUCAUAUAAUAUUUCGAAAUUCAUAUCUUACAUGAAUCGUUUUUUAUAAAUACCUGUUGAGGAAGCUUCAUAUGCAUUAUCACCAAUUUCCUUGUCUACCCAGAAGAAGUCUUGAUCGAAAGAUAUAAAGAGUUAUAGAUAUUAAUUAAUAACGACUAUUAAAUAAAUUAUAAAAAAAUUUAAAUAAAAAUCUAAAUCUAAAAAUUAGAUAUAGAUAUUUUUCUUAAAAUAUUCAGAUUUUAAUUUUUCUUUCAAUUUGUAAAAUUGCAAGCUAAAUUUCAAGUUCGAACCCGAGUCGAGCCGAGCCCGAGCUCGGCCAAAUCAGGCUCGGCGAGCUCGAACUCGUACCCGAGCCUGAACAAUUUCUUAACGAGUCGAGCCCGGAUCCAUAAGCAAAAUAUCAACUCGGCUCGUUUGACACCCUAACGAGAGUCACAUGAUAUAUCACGGGUUAUAGUGAAAAUUAAAUAAGACUCGAACUAUAAAUCUUCAGUAAUUUUAAUAGUUACCGUGACCAGUUGAACUAAAUUAAACCUAUCUAUGUUCCUAAAUUUACAUACAAAAAAUAUUGGUAACUGAUUAAAGUCGUCAAUAGUCCGUCAUACAAAGUCUUUUUUUUGUUAAUUAUAACAAUCUGACAAAGGAUACAUUUUUACAAGAUGUAAAACAACCUACCUUUGGGUAAAAGAACAUAAUCACCAGUUAAGUCGCCGAAUAUAUGAGACGUCUAGAUCACAUGGACUCAUAAGAUUCAUUAGAUCCAUUUUUGACCAUCAGGUGGGCGCACCAACGAAUCAAGAUUAUCAAAGUUAGGUUUGUAUAUCGGUUGGAUUCGAUUCGGAAUCUGUAUAAUCUGAAUCCGUCCGAAUAAUAUUCGGAUAGGAAAAUCCAAAUUCGGUUAAAUUUUCGAAUAUCCGGAAAAUCCGAAUCCGGAUAACUUUUUAUAAAAACCUUAAAAUAAAAUUAUAAAAAGUAUAAAAUCACCUUUAAUAAAUAUAAUUAAUAGUCAAUUAAACAUCUUAAAAUUCAAAUAUUCAGAAGUAAAUUUAUAUUUAUAUUCUGAAUCCGAAACUAUUAACCGAAUUUAAAUUUUAAAAACGGAUAUUACAAAUUUUCGGAUAUCAUUUUUGGUAUUCAAAUUUAGAUCCGAAAUCCGAAAAUCCGAAUUACAUUUCAAUUCAAAUCAAAGUUGAAACAAUAAAUUCAAAUCUCAGCCAUUAUUUUCAACGAUAUUUCAAUUUUCAACCAUUUAUUUCAAUUAUUAGAAGUAAAAAUAAUGUAUUCAAACACGACAUUACAAGACAAUCAUCGUCAAUCGUCAUCAAUGGUGGGCACACAUCUUAAGUUGGAAGGAUACCUCCGGCGGCAACUAUGGAUGCUUCUGUCUUUGACUUCCACGACAGCUUGACAAACGGAGAAAGCUGAACCAACUUCUCCGUCUCUGGUAUCAACCCCUUGACGGCGGAAUGAGCACAGAAACGUUCAGCCCAUGUCAACAAAAGAGGCGUCUUUUCCUCAUCCAAAAACUUCACCUCCGUUAAUAUCUCAGCAGUUUUGAUCCAACCCAAAGCCGAACCCAAGACGAUGUCGACGUAUCCAAGACUGUCUCCUCCGAAGAACCUCUUUCCCUCGCCGUACUUUCCCAGAGCGGUCUCUAAAACCUGCAAGACCGAGUGAAGCUCCUCUACGUUUGCCACUCUCACCGCCUCCGUCAGCCCACCGAUCGUCCAUCUAAAAGCGGAGUACAACUGCAAUCACUCAAACCAGUACUUGUUAAUCGACAACACAAUCUAUAUUGGCGGAAUUUCCGCCAAUAAGGAUGAUAAAAAAUUGUAACCUUACCUUAUCAUCUAUAAAAACACCCCAGAACUUCGCGACGGCACGAUCGUAUGGGUCAAGGGGCAAAAUAGGUGGGGAAUCUGGGGUGUUCCAAACGGUAUCGAUAUACUCGAUGAUGAUCGGAGAGUCACAUAUGGCACGAUCGUCGUGGAAAAGCACCGGAACUUUCUUGUAAAUGGGAUUGGACUGUAAUAAAAGUUCGCUCUUGCUCCCCAAGUCUUCCUCCAUGUACUCUGUUGGUACCAUGGACCGCGGACCGCGGCCCAUGGACCGAACCGGACCGGACGGCCCAGGCGGACGGACGGGCGGGCGGACGAGUGGACGAACGGGGCUGACCGUACAAGCCCACGAGGCCCAAUAACAACAAGUGAAGGCUAUAAAUACCUCCCCUGGCCCAACUGGGGAGGGGGUGGAGAAUUCUGAGAGAGUGAACACUGGAGAGUUGAGGUUGUGGGCUUACCCCGGCGAGCGUACAUACCAACAUACUCGUAGGAAAUAGCUUUGAGCUUCAGAGCUAUUCUUGCCCGCAGUGCGUAGGGGCUCGCCCAGUACCCCAGUAGCUUCACUUUUUCCCCGGCCAUGAUUUCUUCUACAUGCGCUGAUGUACCGACGGUGACCAUGAUAUAUAAGAAGUGAGGUAGACAAAUUAGAAUCUACCUUUAUAAUGUGAACACUGAAUAGGUUACAUUAGGGGUGAGAAUGAGACGGCCGCGGGCGGGUUAGGUAUCAUCCUCUCUGCAUGAGACCCGCCCCGGACCCGGUGAUCGGGGCACGAAAUGGGGCAGAUCCGAGACGACCCGACUGGAAUUAUAAAUUAAAAAAAAAAAUUAUUUAAAAAGUAAACCUAAAAUUUAAAAUAGGUAAACUUUUUACCUUAAUUUUUAAAAUUUUAAUUUUAAUAAUCCUAUAUCUAAUAUAAUAUAAAUUAAUUAAUAAAAAAAAUAUUUUUUUUUAAAACCGGGGCAACCGGCCCGAGUUUCGCCCUGUCCCGAGACCCGCCCCGAAAUAUGACCAGGGCACGUGGCAAAAAAGUGAAAAACGGGACAGAAUAUCUACCCCGUUCCCGAUUACCACCGGGACGCGGGACAAGAGUGACCCGCCCCAUUCUCACCCCUAGAUUACAUGGGUUAUUAUUUAUAUUUAUAUUUAUUUUAAACGGUGAUGUAAUUAAAAGACUGAAUUAAAAAAAAUCAAAUGUCUAAAAUUAUAAUUUAAAUGUAAAUAGUUAAAAAUUAAAUAGUUCAGAUAAUUAAAAAUUAAAUAAUUCAAAUGUAAAUAAAUAAUAAUUAAGUAAAUUAACCAAAAUUAUCGAUACUAAUCAAUCUUCAAUUUCGAGAGCCCAAAAUCAAGAAGGUAUAAAAAUGAGAACCCAAAAGAUGAUCUUUACCUUGAAUGAGUUGAAUCCACCGAUGGAAGAAAUAGAAAUAGAAGAAAAAUCGAUUUAGUCAGGGUGUGAUUUAGGGUUUAGGGAUUUGGAAGAGAAAUAAAUUUAGGAAUUUGACAUUUUGGGGUUUAAAACUUAAAAUUUUAAAUGUAGGAGGUUAAAUAUAAAUUUUUAUAGAUAUAUUUUAAAUAUAAAUUUAUGUAUUUAAUAUAUUAUAUAAGGUUAUUUAUAUAAAUUAUACUAUAUAAAAUAUUAUAUAAGGUUUAAAUGUAAUUUACCCCAGACACGGGUAUUAUCCAGGGUGAAAUCCCCAUCCCCAUCUCUACGAUCGUCCAGGUACGAGGCAGGUACCGGGUACGGGGACGGAAAAUCUCGUCCUUAACGUGGCAUGUACGACUCAAUGGGUCGAGCCCGUCCAACCCAAGAAGGUUUCAGACCCAAGAGUGACUGUAUAAAUACCCCUAGCGGUGAAACUUAAAAGGGAUCUUUUACCAUUUGCAUGAAAUACAUUGUACUAAAGAAAAAGAUUGUGUAGUGUAAUACUUGUACUUUAUACUACUAGGAUGAAAAAGUGGUUUUCUUUAGCAAAAACACACUGUAACACUUGGAAACUCAUUCUGAUCAUAACACUUCCCAAUCAGAAUCAAUAGAACAGUCUUUGAUGGGUAAUGGUGUUUGGUGAUGUCUAUGAUCAAUCUGCUCUUCUCCAUUAACAUAUGAUGAUUUCUUCUUUGAUAUUAUAAACUUGGGAGGGGUGAUCACACUCUUCAUUUUCUUCUGCAAUCCAAAUGAAGGCAAGUCAUGAUACCAGGCAAUUAAGUUCUAUCUAGGGUUUGCGACUCGUGUAUUUAUUGGCAGAUUUAUGCUAAUAACUGACCUUGUAAGUAGUACUUUUCUUAUUUGAUUUUUCCGAAGCGAAGGAUUCUAGUUCAUCGUCAUGUAUCAGAUUAUCGUCCCAGCCGUCUUCUAGAUGUGUACUCUUGAAUUCUUUUUUUCUCAUUGUGUUCAUGUCAAU
rnacentral:lncRNA from 1 species